rnacentral:lncRNA from 1 species
AGAGGUGUUGUAGUUUGGCCCAGUGGAGGAGGCUGCGAGGGAAAUCACCGAGUCAACUACUGAGUGAGUUAUUAGAUCUGACAUCUAAAGAAUACAAAUAGCAGCUGACGACCAUGAGAUGCUGGCCUCCUCAUUGUUCUUGUUGUCAGGCCAAUACUAACUCAUUGUUCUUGCGGUCAGGCUACUACUAACUGUAAGUGCCAACUAAAAAUUAUUUCUUGUACUUUAUCCAUAGCAGUAUUGUACUCCAUGUAUUUUUAAUUUUUUCUUUGCAAGAAAUUAUGCCUUUUCUCUUAAUAAAGGCCUUAUGAACCGCAAGUUGGUUCAUAUGUGUAAAUUAUUUUCUUAAACUGCAAAGUCCUUGCCUUCUUUGUGCUAAUCUGUCACCUUGGAUAUAAAUUUUGUUAUAGGUUUGUUGAGUAGUUCACUUGUGCCAGCAAGACGCCAUUGAUUUGCUUAUAUCCAGUCGUGCUAUUAAGUUACUGAUGAAGCAAGGUAUGUUCCUUUCUAUUGUGCUGGUGUUAUAUAGGUUUGCUAAAGUAUAGUUUCUUCAAAUUGUGAAGUAAAUCCUAAUGUGCGGAAGUCUGGUCUUGUAGUAUGUUCUUGUCUAUUGCGUUGGCCUCGUAAAGAUUUUCCUAAAAUAGCAUGUGCAUAAAGGAAACUACAUGAAGAAAGUUAUCAAUCUAUUUUAAACUAAGAACAUUGGUAACGUCCACACCCUGAAUCUAAUAAGUAUCCUUCUUAUCAUGGUUGAUGUCACUCAAAUACUAUUACUUAUCUUGGUCGAUACAAAUAGACUGUCGCACUAUUUAUUUCAUAAGCUACUGAUCCACUAAUUAUUUGGAUAACAUCCUUUUUCUCCUGACCUUUGAUUUCGGUACUUCAUCUUCAUCUUCAAGCAAUGUAUUUUUGGCUUUUGCUUUAACAUGUUUCUUGUUCCCGCAAACACCUUUUCCCUUUUUUUAGGCAUAUUCGUCUUAGUGCAUUCAUCCUCUGACUCAUCUGAUAUUACAACAGAUCUCAGUCUCCUUUUAGUGCCACUGCGGAGCUCACGUGAUGAUGAUGGUAUUUUGUCUUGACGCUUAUCUUUAUUUAAUGUAGUCCCAUUGCUGUCAUGUGGCUCCUCUUUCACAGGCACCAGUUCACAUGAAAGUUUGCCAGAUGAAACUUUAUUAUUCUAUGACUGCAAAGAUAAACAUUUUGAAAAUUAGACACAUCUCUAAAAUCUGAAGUGUGUACAUUGUUAAAAAAACAAUCACCUUUCUAUCUGGCAUGUUUUGCUUCUUCAUUAACACAGUGUCCACCUCAUCAUCCAUUAAGGAAUUCUAAAAAUGGUAAAAAGUUAAUGCAGCUUUACCUCCUCGGCUUUAUUGUCCAAAUAGAGCAUCUCAAGCCUAUCAUCAGGCACAAAUGUUCUUUUUACGGCAUAGUUUUGUGUGCCAAAUGUUAGAUUAUUAUCAUUGAGCUUGAAUCUAAAUAUGAGUCUUUUUCCACAUAAUUGUUGAAUAAUCUUUGGCGCUUCUUCCGAUUUCCCAUCCUGUGUGUCCAGCAGAUUAGAUGCAGAUGUAUUAAGCAAUCUUGUAGCCUCCUCAUCAAAUAAAGUGCAACUUGUAGUAGAUGUAUGGUCACUAAUUUGGAGUCGAACAGGGUACCUAACACAUGAUUCCUGGUAGUGGAGAGUAAAUAUAAUAUAACAUUUUUUUCAUAUUUUAGUAAUAUAAUAUGCUUACCAUGGUGUGACCUUUUCUGGAUAUAUACCACAACUCUUGCAAUAAUAAUGGUCACUAAUUUGUGGCACUUAUCACAUGACAUGUACCACCAUUGAAUAUUUUCUUGCAAACGAUCCACUGUAGCUAUGACAGUGAACACAAAAUCCUAAAGAAAACAACAUUAGCAUUUGGGUGGGGUGUGGGAUUAAGAGGCAUAUAUAAGCACAAUAUGGUUUCAUUGUAACUAAUAUUAAAUGAAUUGUCCAUGCAGGUCUUAUCGCGUAUCACGGAGAUUGAUGAUAUCAUUUAUUGGAAUUUUGAUGCGUUACCUGGUCUGGCUGGUUUCCGUGCCUCAUUGCAGUAAGUUCUUCUAAUGUUCUCCUCCUAUAAAACAUCUGUUCUUCUAGUGUUCCUUGAUUACUUCUAUCUAUACUGCCCAUCUUUGGUAAGGUUUCUUCGGCUGAGUUCCUGCACAUGUAUGAAGUAAAUAAGAAUAUACAACCUUUAAUCAACCUGACUUAGUAAUUAUGAGUGAAAAAAUAUAAAUCGGUGGUGUUUCAUACCUAUCAAGAAGUUCUUGUAUUUCUGGUAUAUCCAGAUCUAUAUAUAUCCUUGUGGCACUCGUUGACUUUAGGCACAAACCUAUUUAAUCAUUCAGUUAGAAUUUGUAAAUGAUACGAAUAGCAUGUAAGAUUUAUGCACUUACCAUUGAAUCUCUGCACCAUCGUUGAUGUGAUAAUAAGGACAGUUUGGCUGCCGAUUACAUCCUCGGUCAAAAAAUAAGCAAACUUUCCCCACAACGUGAUUCUGAUUUUAUCACCCCUAAAGAAUAUAAUCUAAGAAGUUAGUGCUAACCACAUGGGGGAGGUUUAGUUAAAUUUGAGACAUGCAUAUGCACUUACUCUGGCAUUAGGAUUUCAAUCUUGCGGAUAUAUGAAGGUUGUGGGUUCCUUUUUGUUAUUCUUGUCUCCACUGGCUUCAUUUGAGUUAGUAGUCCAAUGACAUCUGCAUAUUUGGAGAUUAUAGUGAUAUAAAAAUUAGAAAUAUCCAUUAUUUGGAGGUCGUAAUUACAUCCAUAAACAUACCUGAGCAUUGUGUAUCUUUUUCCGCCCUUUCUUCUAGUGUGUCCAUGGUAGCAAACUCAAAGUAAUAUUCCGGGAAAACUUCCGAAGAUCCUUUUAUUUCCUUUAACUUUGUAUUGUAUGCAAAAUAUAUUUUAAUUUCAUUGCUCACUGGCCUAUAUUUUGUGGAUUCCACGACCUUAAAAUUGUUGAAUCCAUAAAUAGACUUUUCAUUGAUCUUUGAUCUAAAAGUGUCUAUAAGAUUCUUCCAGAUAGUAGCAUGGAUUGUAGAUAGUAGCAUGGAUUGUUUCACCCUAUUAAAAGAAUCAAAUAGGGUUAGUAAGUUGCUUCAUCCGAUAGAAAAAUUCUAAUUUAAUAUAUUAGAAAACAGACCUGCUCAUCCAUCAGUAUCAUAUCUAGGCUAAUAAGCUCAUCGGUCGUAGGAUUCACUGAAUCCCACAUUCUCAUUACUUUCACUUGAAUAUUCCAAUUCUAUCCCCUUGUAGUUAAGUCACUCAACUUCUUGUAUGCCAUAUUCCUAUAUCUUCAAAACUAACAGGGAACAAUUUAUCAAUUGAUAUAGUAUUUAUGAAGAUUCUAUCCAUCAAAAGUAAGCUUGUGAAAUAACAAUUACCAAAUCUGAUGAUUCAGGCUAGAUUUGCUUUGGCUUCAAUUCUUUCGACUUAGAUUGGAGCAGGCGUCGCUUCGUCGGGCGCUGAGCGUGCUUUCGCGUGACUAUGUCGGGCGUCGAGUGAAGCGGCUGGAGGUGGCUUUUUCGUCUGGACGUUGAGUCGCGUGUGAUGUGUUCAAGUCAUCGUGGUCGUUGGCUUCUAAUUGUUUGGUGGGUACUUGUGCGUCCGUGUGUACUUAUUUAUAUACUUUUAGGUGUCUUGGAUUGUGGUGGCUGAGACCGGCUGCAAAUCAGACGCCAACACCGUGUGCAAAUCAGACUUAUGCACCGUGUGCAAGUCAAACUUGUUUUAUUUGCAUGUAUUUGUUCCUGAUCUGGAACUUUCCUCACGUGAGGUGGUUGUCCUUGUUUGUUAAUAAUAGGCUCCUUAUUUGUUUAGGUUAGAGUAAUA